rnacentral:rRNA from 1 species
UGGGUAACCUGCCCUUGGAACCGGGAUUACUGGCCGAAAGGCCCGCUCAUCCGGAUAAGACUUCAUGAGCUUCGGCUCAUGCGGCCAAAGUCGGCCUCUCAAGAAGCCGGCGCCUGAGGAUGGGCCCGCGGACCAUUAGCUAGUUGGUGGGUAACGGCUCACCAAGGCCGAGAUGGUUAGCUGGUCUGAGAGGAUGAUAGCCACACUGGAACUGAGAUACGGUCCAGACUCCUACGGGAGGCAGCAGGAGGAAUAUUGCGCAAUGGAGGCAACUCUGACGCAGCAACGCCGCGUGGUGAAGAAGGCUUUCGGGUUGUAAAGCCCUGUCAGGUGGGAAGAAACCUCUCUAGUGAAUAGCUAGAGGAACUGACGGUACCACCAAAGGAAGCACCGGCAACUCCGUGCCAGCAGCCCGCGGCAAGACGGAGGGUGCAAGCGUUGUUCGAAUCACUGGGCGUAAAGCGCGUGUAGGCGGUUCGAUAAGUCGAGUG